rnacentral:misc_RNA from 1 species
GUCGUCGUCGUCGUCGUCGGCAGCUAGUAAGACAUCGGAGAUGCGUAAGGGAGGCUGAGUUUGGUCGCGGGACGAAGAGGAGAUAGAGGAGUUUGGGGAUUUAAAAUUAAAGGCUGGCUUCAUCGGGGAUCGAGAAUUUGACAGAGAAGGUAUUAAAUGUGAUGAAGCAGUGACCGAGCGGAGGGUUUGGAUGGUGGAAGAAAUAGGAGGGAAAGUUUUAAACGCUUUCACUUUGC